GAGCCGCGAGGCGCUGGACGCGCUGACCGGGAUUCUCGGUCUCGGUGGGGACUACUACCCCUUCCAGUGGGGCUAGGCUUGC
rnacentral:tRNA from 1 species